CGGGUGAGUAACACGUAGGCAACCUGCCCGUAAGCUCGGGAUAACAUGGGGAAACUCAUGCUAAUACCGGAUAGGGUCUUCUCUCGCAUGAGAGGAGACGGAAAGGUGGCGCAAGCUACCACUUACGGAUGGGCCUGCGGCGCAUUAGCUAGUUGGUGGGGUAACGGCCUACCAAGGCGACGAUGCGUAGCCGACCUGAGAGGGUGACCGGCCACACUGGGACUGAGACACGGCCCAGACUCCUACGGGAGCGAAGC
rnacentral:rRNA from 1 species